GCUGGUAAAUAUAACACCUAUUACUUUUUAUUUUUUCAUGGUAUAUAAUCACAUAAUUACACAAGUAAAAGAAAAUGGGUCUUGCCUUCUUUGCACGCUUUUGCUACAUGAAUACAGGUACUCAAAGGCACCCCAUGCUAUAGUGCUAGAGAGCACAAGCGCAUGUGUGUGCAUGAGAGAGAGAGAGAGAGAGAUCCAAACUGUUAUAUAAUUACAAUGCGUCAUAAAUUACAUCAUGUCACACAUGAUGUGAGACCCAACGAAUGGCAUCUCAAAAUUUGAGUUCUGCCUUCAACAAACGUUCACACAU
rnacentral:misc_RNA from 1 species